rnacentral:rRNA from 1 species
UACAGGGGGUGCAAACGUUGCUCGGAAUCAUUGGGCGUAAAGCGCGUGUAGGCGGCUUUGCAAGUCGGGUGUGAAAGCCCUCAGCUCAACUGAGGAAGUGCGCCCGAAACUGCAGAGCUUGAGUGCCGGAGAGGGUGGCGGAAUUCCCCAAGUAGAGGUGAAAUUCGUAGAUAUGGGGAGGAACACCGGUGGCGAAGGCGGCCACCUGGACGGUAACUGACGCUGAGACGCGAAAGCGUGGGGAGCAAACAGG